UACGUAGGGGGCAAGCGUUGUCCGGAAUUAUUGGGCGUAAAGAGCGCGUAGGCGGUCCGAUAAGUCGGCUGUGAAAGUCAGGGGCUCAACCCUUGAAAGCCGGCCGAUACUGUCGGACUAGAGUCCGGAAGAGGCAAGUGGAAUUCCCGGUGUAGCGGUGAAAUGCGCAGAUAUCGGGAGGAACACCAAUGGCGAAGGCAGCUUGCUGGGACGGUACUGACGCUGAGGCGCGAAAGCGUGGGGAGCGAACGAGG
rnacentral:rRNA from 1 species